rnacentral:rRNA from 1 species
CGAACGGGUGAGUAACGCGUGAGGAACCUGCCUCAAAGAGGGGGACAACAGUUGGAAACGACUGCUAAUACCGCACAAGCCCACGGCUCGGCAUCGAGCAGAGGGAAAAGGAGUGAUCCGCUUUGAGAUGGCCUCGCGUCCGAUUAGCUAGUUGGUGAGGUAACGGCCCACCAAGGCGACGAUCGGUAGCCGGACUGAGAGGUUGAACGGCCACAUUGGGACUGAGACACGGCCCAG